rnacentral:rRNA from 1 species
AGAGUUUGAUCCUGGCUCAGGACGAACGCUGGCGGCGCGCUUAACACAUGCAAGUCAAAGGGUAAUAUAUUUAUAUGUAUUACACUGGCGGAAGGGUGAGUAACGCGUGGGUUAUCUAUCCAUAUCCCAGGGAUAGCAGUGAGAAAUUGCUGAUAAUAUCUGAUAGGGACGAAAGUUCAAAGUAUUAAUAGUACGGAUAUGGUUGAGCCUGCGUAAGAUUAUGUUAGUUGGUGAGGUAAUUGCUCACCAAGGCUAUGAUCUUUAGCUGGUCUGAGAGGACGAACAGCCACACUGGAACUGAGACACGGUCCAGACUCCUACGGGAGGCAGCAGUGAGGAAUAUUGGACAAUGGAGGGAACUCUGAUCCAGCGACGCCGCGUGUAAGACGACGGAACUAAGUUCUGUAAAUCACUGUCGAGAGGGAGCAAAAGAUACUUUUGGGUAUCUGGGAUAGUACCUCUAGAGGAAGGGUCGGCUAACUACGUGCCAGCAGCCGCGGUAAUACGUAGGACCCGAGCGUUGUCCGGAUUUACUGGGUAUAAAGGGUGCGUAGGCUGUCUUGCUUGUCAAAUGUAAAAUACUACAGCUUAACUGUGGAUGUGCGUUUGAAACGGUAAGACUUGAAUAUGAGAGGGGCUGAUAGAAUUCCUGGUGUAGCGGUAAAAUGCGUAGAUAUCAGGAGGAAUACCGGUGGCGAAGGCGGUCAUCUGGCUCAUUAUUGACGCUGAGGCACGAAAGCGUAGGUAGCAAACAGGAU